rnacentral:rRNA from 1 species
UGGGGAAUAUUGGACAAUGGAGGAAACUCUGAUCCAGCAAUUCUGUGUGUGUGAAGAAGGUUUUAGGACUGUAAAACACUUUUAGUAGGGAAGAAAAAAAUGACGGUACCUACAGAAGAAGCAACGGCUAAAUACGUGCCAGCAACCGCGGUAAUACGUAUGUUGCGAGCGUUAUCCGGAAUUAUUGGGCUUAAAGGGCAUCUAGGCGGUAAGACAAGUUGAAGGUGAAAACCUGUGGCUCAACCAUAGGCUUGCCUACAAAACUGUUGAACUAGAGUACUGGAAAGGUGGGUGGAACUACACGAGUAGAGGUGAAAUUCGUAGAUAUGUGUAGGAAUGCCGAUGAUGAAGAUAACUCACUGGACAGAAACUGACGCUGAGGUGCGAAAGCUAGGGGAGCAAACAGG